UUUCCGCGCCGUAGCUAACGCAUUAAGUGCCCCGCCUGGGGAGUACGGCCGCAAGGCUAAAACUCAAAGGAAUUGACGGGGGCCCGCACAAGCGGCGGAGCAUGCGGAUUAAUUCGAUGCAACGCGAAGAACCUUACCAAGGCUUGACAUGAACCGGAAAGACCUGGAAACAGGUGCCCCGCUUGCGGUCGGUUUACAGGUGGUGCAUGGUUGUCGUCAGCUCGUGUCGUGAGAUGUUGGGUUAAGUCCCGCAACGAGCGCAACCCUCGUUCUAUGUUGCCAGCGGUUCGGCCGGGGACUCAUAGGAGACUGCCGGGGUCAACUCGGAGGAAGGUGGGGACGACGUCAAAUCAUCAUGCCCCUUAUGUCUUGGGCUUCACGCAUGCUACAAUGGCCGGUACAAAGGGUUGCGAUACUGUGAGGUGGAGCUAAUCCCAAAAAGCCGGUCUCAGUUCGGAUUGGGGUCUGCAACUCGACCCCAUGAAGUCGGAGUCGCUAGUAAUCGCAGAUCAGCAACGCUGCGGUGAAUACGUUCCCGGGCCUUGUACACACCGCCCGUCAAGUCACGAAAGUUGGUAACACCCGAAGCCGGUGGCCUAACCCUUGUGGGGGGAGCCGUCGAAGGUGGGACCGGCGAUUGGGACUAAGUC
rnacentral:rRNA from 1 species